UGGAGCAAAAGAAGAUUAUUAUACCAAACGGAACCAAUAUGAACUGUGUAUAUAUUCUGUAAUAUGGAAGAAAUGUUAUUUCUGGGGAGGAGAGGAAAAAGGGUGCUGCCUGCAUAUUGUUUUAUAUAUGUUCACUUUUGGCAACAUAUUUGGUUUUUUGUUUUGUAAAGGGAUCAGGGAGAUCGGGCAUUGGUCUUUGUGCUACUUAGUAAGGCAUGUGAUAUCUGGUUUGUUGGGUUACGGGUGUUGUCAUGUUAUGUUGAUGACGCAUGACUUUGUAACAUCCUUGUGUAAGUUCCUGUGUUUGGUUUGACCACAUAUUGUGAUAAUUCCAAACUUUGUUAUUAAUAAUAUACUCUAUUUUAUUUGCUG
rnacentral:lncRNA from 1 species